rnacentral:rRNA from 1 species
CCUACGGGAGGCAGCGGUGGGGAAUAUUGGACAAUGGGCGAAACCCUGAUCCAGCGACGCCGCGUGCGUGAAGACGUAUUUCGGUAUUUUAAGCUGCAUCUGUAGGGGAGAAAAUCACGGUACGUGAUUAAGGAGCACCGGCUAACUACGUGCCAGCAGCCGCGGUAAUAUGUCGGGUGCCAGCGUUAUCCGGAUUUACUGGGUGUAAAGGGAGCGUAGACGGUAGCGCAAGUCUGAAGUGAAAUGCCGGGGCUUAACCCCGGAACUGCGUUGGAAACUGUGCAGCUAGAGUGCAGGAGAGGUAAGUGGAAUUCCUAGUGUAGCGGUGAAAUGCGUAGAGAUCAGGAGGAACACCAGUGGCGAAGGCAGCUUACUGGACUGUAACUGACGUUGAGGCUCGAAAGCGUGGGGAGCAAACAGGAUUAGAUACCCUAGUAGUC